GAUGAACGCUGGCGGCGUGCUUAACACAUGCAAGUCGAACGGUGAAGCAGAGCUUGCUCUGUGGAUCAGUGGCGAACGGGUGAGUAACACGUGAGCAACCUGCCCCUGACUCUGGGAUAAGCGCUGGAAACGGCGUCUAAUACCGGAUAUGAGCUGCGAUCGCAUGGUCAGCAGUUGGAAAGAUUUCUCGGUCUGGGAUGGGCUCACGGCCUAUCAGCUUGUUGGUGAGGUAAUGGCUCACCAAGGCGUCGACGGGUAGCCGACCUGAGAGGGUGACCGGCCACACUGGGACUGAGACACGGCCCAGACUCCUACGGGAGGCAGCAGUGGGGGAUAUUGCACAAUGGGCGAAAGCCUGAUGCAGCAACGCCGCGUGAGGGAUGACGGCCUUCGGGUUGUAAACCUCUUUUAGCAGGGAAGAAGCGAAAGUGACGGUACCUGCAGAAAAAGCGCCGGCUAACUACGUGCCAGCAGCCGCAGUAAGAC
rnacentral:rRNA from 1 species